rnacentral:rRNA from 1 species
GACGAACGCUGGCGGCGUGCUUAACACAUGCAAGUCGAACGGAAAGGCCCUGCUUUUGUGGGGUGCUCGAGUGGCGAACGGGUGAGUAACACGUGAGUAACCUGCCCUUGACUUUGGGAUAACUUCAGGAAACUGGGGCUAAUACCGGAUAGGAGCUCCUGCUGCAUGGUGGGGGUUGGAAAGGUUCGGCGGUUGGGGAUGGACUCGCGGCUUAUCAGCUUGUUGGUGGGGUAGUGGCUUACCAAGGCUUUGACGGGUAGCCGGCCUGAGAGGGUGACCGGCCACAUUGGGACUGAGAUACGGCCCAGACUCCUACGGGAGGCAGCAGUGGGGAAUAUUGCACAAUGGGCGGAAGCCUGAUGCAGCAACGCCGCGUGCGGGAUGACGGCCUUCGGGUUGUAAACCGCUUUCGCCUGUGACGAAGCGUGAGUGACGGUAAUGGGUAAAGGAGCACCGGCUAACUACGUG